GUCAGUCGAAAAGAAGAGAGAGAACAGAGCGUUUGCAAGCUUCCGGAAAAGGAAACCCAAAAUGAAAAUAGUAACUUCCGAAAAUGGAAAGUUCUAUUUAUAGUGGUUUCCAAAAAAUAUCCGAAACUUCUGCAGACCAUAACUUUCAAAUACGAACUCUGAUUUUCGCGUUUCACAUGUCCACGAACUUAUAUUGACGCGCUCUACGACUUUCGUGAAGGAAGUUUUCGGAGAAACCCAACGUAUAAAAAGUCAACCUUCGCGCCCCCCUAAAACCAUAUUUUUCGAAUAACAAUUCGUCUGAAACACUUCCGCCUUAUCCACGAACCACGAAAUCGUCCAAUAAUCACUAAUUAAAUUCCAAAAAAUAUUCAGAAAAUAAUAAUGAAUUUCCAGGAUACUACACCCAAUUUCCUUGAUUAAGUCCUCCUUUGCAACCUAUGCCCCUAUCAGAAAGCGGGGAGUUUCUGUACAUAUAUUAUAGUGAAUUAUCAAUACAGGAGAGAAUCCUGAUUGCUAGAUGACCCUAUGCACCAAAAUUCAAGAUACCUCAGCAACUUUUCGUUGCUAUUUAUUUUUCGUUUAGCAUUUCACUAUAUUUUCCCCCCAUUUAGCAUCUUCUGUGCUUAAUUUGGUUGUUCAACAUCUAUAUUUAGUGGCUAUUUAUCAGUUCUCUUGAAUUGUUGUGUAUACUUGCGAUUUGAACUUGUGUAGUCACUCAUUCUUACUUGUUUUAUUAUCACUGCUGCUAAUGAUAAAUAGGCACUCUUUUUUUGCUUAGAUAUUUAUGAGUUGCUGACCGUUACUCGAGGCACUUGGGAUCCUAAAUGAGAUAUGGCACCCAAAAGGGUCCGCUGUGUGAGAAGCAAAUCGAAUGCUGAAAAGUGAAAACCCCAUGUGCUACCUAUAACACAUCAAUUUUAGAGAAAAUUAGACUUUCUAAGAUCUGUGUGAACAUGUGUGAUGUGUGUGCGUGUUUUAUUUUUAUUUUUUUUGGGAGUUUGAGAGCAAAUUCACUGUUCACCACCACCAGAAUACCAACUAUUGAGCAAGCCAAUGCCUUUUGUGAUAAAGCUGAAGGGAAAGCGGGUGGGAUCGUGACGUUGUUCCGAGUAGAACUUGCUUCAAGGACAUGGAAAGCAUCUGGGAUGAUGUAGGUAUAUUUUGUAGCUUGAAUGGCCAUACAAGGGGAUAUUUUUAGCAUUUCGUGCGUCUUUAAACAGAUCUGUUAAUGAUAUAUAUCAGUGUUCUAGGUAGCCUGGGCGUCCGUCUGGGCGGUCUCAAUAUAUAUAUUUUUUUUCGCGACACCUAAACUCCAAAUCGACGAAACCUAAUCACCCAAGCCACCUCGCCUCUGCACCAGAGCUCUGCCCAAGCCACCUCACCUCUACACUGCAGCUCUCCCCAACCCACCGAUCAAACCAAUUCUGAACGUGAAACUGAAGUCGCGGUGGAGACAGCCAUGGCUUUUCAAGCUUGACAAAAAUUAUGAAAGGGGAAGAGAAAGAGAGGAUGGGAGCUCACCUUGGUCGAUCGGAGCGAGAAGACAAGAGAAUAGCAGAGAAGUGAAUAGGGAACCAGAUUAAUCUGUCGAGUUUGACGAUGAGUUUGCCGAUGUCAUCUGCUGGGUUCUCCAGAUCUUUUUUUUUCUGGGACUCUGGUGGUCCAAGUAGUCGAUCUGUUGGAGUACCUUAAGUUUGUGGUUCAACUUGAAUAGGAAACCCAUAUUCAAGGUCAACUGUUUGACCGGCAUUGGAAACAGGAGUAAACUAUAUUCCUAUAAAAUGUGUUUAUUAAUCUUAUUAUAUAUUAUAGUAAGUCUUCAUAUAUCUUCUAAUAAAAAAGUCUUUAUA